rnacentral:rRNA from 2 species
AGUUCUGGUGUCAGCCGCCGCGGUAAAACCAGCACCUCAAGUGGUCAGGAGGAUUAUUGGGCCUAAAGCAUCCGUAGCCUGCUCUGUAAGUUUUCGGUUAAAUCUAUAUGCUCAACGUAUAGGCCGCCGAAAAUACUGCAGUGCUAGGAAGUGGGAGAGGUAGACGGUACUUGAUAGGAAGGGGUAAAAUCCUUUGAUCUAUCGAUGACCACCUGUGGCGAAGGCGGUCUACCAGAACACGUUCGACGGUGAGGGAUGAAAGCUGGGGGAGCAAACCGGAUUAGAUACCCGGGUAGUCCCAGCUGUAAGCGAUGCAGACUCGAUGAUGCAUUGGCAUAUAGCCAGUGCAGUGUCGCAGGGAAGCCGUUAAGUCUGCCGCCUGGGAAGUACGUACGCAAGUAUGAAACUUAAAGGAAUUGGCGGGGGAGCACCACAA